rnacentral:rRNA from 1 species
GACGAACGCUGGCGGCGUGCCUAAUACAUGCAAGUCGAGCGCAGGAAACUGAUGGAACUCUUCGGAGGGAAGGCAGUGGAAUGAGCGGCGGACGGGUGAGUAACACGUAAGGAACCUGCCUCAAGGAUUGGGAUAACUCCGAGAAAUCGGAGCUAAUACCGGAUAGUUCAACGGACCGCAUGGUCCGCUGAUGAAAGGCGCUUCGGCGUCACCUUGAGAUGGCCUUGCGGUGCAUUAGCUAGUUGGUGGGGUAACGGCCCACCAAGGCGACGGUGCAUAGCCGACAUGAGAGGGUGAUCGGCCACACUGGGACUGAGACACGGCCCAGACUCCUACGGGAGGCAGCAGUAGAGAAUCUUCCACAAUGGACGAAAGUCUGAUGGAGCAACGCCGCGUGAGUGAUGAAGGUUUGCGGAUCGUAAAACUCUGUUGUAAGGGAAGAACACGUACGAGAGGAAAUGCUCGUACCUUGACGGUACCUUACGAGAAAGCCACGGCUAACUACGUGCCAGCAGCCGCGGUAAGAC